rnacentral:tRNA from 1 species
GUCGGAGUGGCGGAAUAUGGCAGACGCGCUAGGUUGAGGGCCUAGUCCGGGUUAACCGGGUGGGGGUUCAAAUCCCCCCUCCGACACAA